AACGUAGGAGGCGAGCGUUAUCCGGAUUUACUGGGCGUAAAGCGUACGCAGGUGGCUUCGUGAGUCGGACAUGAAAGCUCCCGGCUUAACUGGGAGAGGUUGUUCGAUACUGCGAGGCUUGAGGUUGGGAGAGGGACGUGGAAUUCCCGGUGUAGUGGUGGAAUGCGUAGAUAUCGGGAGGAACACCAGUGGCGCAAGCGGCGUCCUGGCCCACACCUGACGCUGAGGUACGAAAGCGUGGGUAGCAAACAGGAUUAGAUACCCUGGUAGUCCACGCUGUAAACGAUGUCAACUGGGUGUCGGUAGUUUUACACUAUCGGUGCCGAAGCCAACGCGUUAAGUUGACCGCCUGGGGACUACGGCCGCAAGGCUAAA
rnacentral:rRNA from 1 species